UUUUCAACCCACUACAAACUACCUUAAAAGUAAUUAUUUUUUUGUUCUUUUCUACAGAUUAGCUAACCAAUAAGACAGAUUAGGGAAUGAUCUGGACCCUAGCAAUGAGGACAUGGGAUGUAUUCACUGGUAUCCUUUCUGAAUUUGGUUUGCUUUCCACACUUGUAAACCUUGGAACGAUACAUUCUACAGCUAAUUCAGGAACAUUAGAAGAACUCCAGAUACCAUUAAAUUAUGAAAUUAUGGAGCAUUGGUUGUAUUAGUCCUCAUUUGCCCUGAAAGUAGCUGUGCCCAUGGUUCUAAAGAAAGCAUGAAAGUGCCUUUUUUUCAUUGGGAAGGAAGACAGUGUGCUGGAAAAGGAUUUAUGACAAUGAACUAAUUGUUGUCCCACAAAUGAGAAGGAAUUGCAGUUAAUUUUGGUGCUACUAAAACAACCGAUGCUUUUGACGUUGUAACAUUAUGCAGUUAAUUUUUACCGUGACUAUGGGAGGCAAUUGGAAAUUAAUUAAUUUGGAUGCAACCGGAACAACAAAUUAUCUGCAGUGGUAUCCCUCCUAGAUUUGGUUGGUUUGCUGAUCACACUGGCAGACUUUAGAACGCCACUUUCUACAAUUAAUUAAGGUGAGAAUACAUGACUUAAUCAAUAUUAAUUACUCUUUAUUAAUCUGUUAUGAAAUUUCUGUUAACAGUUAGCUAUUGUCAACAGUAUAAGUUGAGGUUAUUGUGCAUCAAUAUCACUUGACAGUUAUUUUCCACAGAAUAAAUUGAUAUUUAUCAUUGAUGUAUGUAUGGAGCUUAUCUAUCUAUGGAUUUUCGUUUUAACCUUUUUCUGUUGUCUAUGUCGUAAAUUAACGUGUUAUUUGCGUUAAUCUAUGUCGUGAUCUAUGGUUGUGAUGUAAAAUGGCGUAAAGUUGUUGUUUGUUUAUUUUUUAAUUCAGCUAUUUUAC